rnacentral:rRNA from 1 species
GGAAAGUUGAAAAGAACUUUGAAGAGAGAGUUCAAAAGGGCGUGAAACCGCUUAGAAGAAAACGGACGGAGCCGUCAGGAGCCUUCGGGAAUCAGUCGUACGACUCGCGAAAAGUGCUUCGGUUUUGCAGAACGCAAGUCUGGCCGAGGUUCUAUUAGUAGCGAUCGAAUGACGCAUUUCUUGAAGGUAAGCACUGCGACCGAUACGAACGGCCGGCGAAGCGAUCGGAUUGAGGUCGAGACCCUUCGGGGUUUCGUUACCAGUCCUUUCGCCUCGAGUCGUCGGACCUCAGUAUGUAUCGAGUGCCUAAGAACAAUAUACGCCGGCGUAAAAUGCUCGCUGGAGUGAUGGAUAGUCGAUUGAUUAGUUGGUAACUGCUCGCAGGUGCCGGCGAAUUUGGUCGACUCAGAAGUCACCGGCGACGUAUAGGCGUAUAGGCGUCAGCAGUGUCAGUGUCGGUCACCCGUCCGACCCGUCUUGAAACACGGACCAAGGAGUCUAACAUAUGCGCGAGCUAAUGAGUGGAAAACUCAAAGGCGCAAUAAAAGUAAACGCUGUUUCGGACAGCCAAGAUACGAUCCUGGACCUCGGUCUUAGGCGCAGUAUCGUCCCGUCUCGACCGCAUGUCGGUAGGGCGGAGAUAGAGUGCAUACGUUGGGGACCCGAAAGAUGGUGAACUAUGCCUGAGCAGAGCGAAGCCAGAGGAAACUCUGGUGGAGGUUCGUAGCGGUUCUGACGUGCAAAUCGAUCGUCAGACUUGGGUAUAGGGGCGAAAGACUAAUCGAACCAUCUAGA